AUGUCAUAACCAUUGUCCACCAGAGAGCAGCACUGAGCAGAAAUAACACUGCUCCUGUUCAUUCUUCAUCAGUGAGGGGCCGAUGCUGGACACUGUAGGGAUGCGGGAAUGCAAAGUCAUGCACAUGACUGUGACUGAUGCACUAUCGCCAGGACAUGGAGUAGCAUUUCCGGACCUACAGCAAAACGUUGGAUGAAGGCACAGCCCCAGAAAUAACACUGGUCCUGUUCAUUCUUCAUCAGUGAGGGGCCGGUGCUGGACACUGUAGGGACGCGGGAAUGCAAAGUCAUGCACAUGACUGUGACUGAUGCACUAUCUCCAGGACAUGGAGUAGCAUUUCCGGACCUACAGCAAGACGUUGGAUGAAGGCACAGCCCCAGAAAUAACACUGGUCCUGUUCAUUCUUCAUCAGUGAGGGGCCGGUGCUGGACACUGUGUAGGGACGCGGGAAUGCAAAGUCAUGCACAUGACUGUGACUGAUGCACUAUCUCCAGGACAUGGAGUAGCAUUUCCAGACCUACAGCAAGACGUUGGAUGAAGGCAUAGCCCUAGGAAUCACACACAUACACAGACACAUUUGCCCAAAUUAUAGAGGUAACCUCCUUUAGUAUGCCCAGAGGAAGGGCAGUACAGUAGCCAUGGAUUCCCUACAGGUUUCCUCCCCUCUGGAGGUUUUUCCUGUCCUGAGUAUUAGUUACUGUACGCUCUUUGUGAGUGAUGGGAGAUUACAAAAAAUCCACUACACAAACAUUUUAAUAAAUAAUAAAUAAAGUUCCCCUUUUUUUAAA